rnacentral:ribozyme from 11 species
GAAAAGAAAAAAGCGAAAAAGGGAAACGGACAGAGUCGAUACGGAACGAUAUGUAAAGCCCUUAAUUCUCCCUGUUGUGUGUUCACACUUGACCCCUUUCUUUCUUCCUUCUUUUAUUGCGUGCUAC